UUUAAAGCCACUAUAAGACUGUUUAAAGCCACUAUAAGACUGUUUAAAGCCACUAUAAGACUAGGAGCAUGACAUAAACAAAUAACAAUACGACAAGUUGAAUGGAAACAAAAGUUUAUAUCAAUCAGUCACCAGUAAAUAAAAUACAAAGAAACUAUGUACACAUAACAUCAGGAUAAAACACUGCUGGGUGAUGUUUCAAUCAUGAAUUAUUUCAAUGCCACUAACAACCAAAACCUUACAAGAGAAAUCAGAAAACUAUAUAUAUAUCUUCUUGUUUGCAUAACUAUUUCUAAAUGUAUAGAUUAGAGAAUGUUUCCAUCAUCAGCUGGAUUUAAUGUCCUUAUAAAAUAACUCAAGGAAAACAAAACUUCUUUCUCUCCACCCAUGCUUUGAGUUCUAAAAAUAGAAGGAAUAUUGUGGCCAGCACAAUUAUUGGAACAGUGACACAAAUAAAUUGAAAAAAAAAAAAAGUCUAACCAUCAGUUUGGCACUGAGUAUUUUUGACUUACAUAGUGACAGAAAUUUUAAGUAAAUCUAUUUUACAUUGUUUUGUUAGUUUCAAAUUUCUCUACUAUAAUACCCAAACCUCUUAGGCAUGAUUCAACUCUUAGGCUAUUGGGACAUCCAUUAUAAACCAAAAAAAAAACAACCUGAUAAAUUCUAAAGUAAGUAGCAAUUUUACUAAAGAGGUCAAUUUCAAUUGGAUACUAGUGUCCACUGACAUGCUGACUUACACCAGAAGAUUUCAUUGCAUUUAGUUGCUUACAUUUCUAUUUAGUGGAAUGCAAAUUAACAUCACAAAAAGCGCAAUCUAGUGAUUCCCUCAAAAUAAAUACAAGACUAUGGACCUUGACCAACUGUAUAACAUGUAUAGCUUUUACAUUCUCUGUAGGAUACAAACAAUGCUUAAAAUAAAAAGGUAUGCUUUAUUUCAAAUGAAAUGCCAUCUCAGAAUUGGCUUUUUUUUAAAUGGGGUAAGCUACAAAGUGUAAAGUAUCAUGUGACAAAAGAUUUACUUGUAAAUGUAUGAAAUUCCAGUUCAUUAAUGAUGAUCUCUCAAACACCAAAACACCUGGCAACU